GCUACAAACGCCUUCAAUUUAGAAGAAUCCUUGUAGUCCUGAAGGUGAACCUCACAAGCCUGCUCGAUUUUCCUCUUCAGUUCAUCAGACUCCUGGUACUCCGCUAUACAUUGCUCACGCUCCAGCUGAGCCCUGUCUUCAACAUGUUUUACUACCUUGAGCAGGGCUGAACACUUACGUUCCAAGGUCCUGACUUCUUGGUUCAGCUGUUGGUGGUGAAGGUUGAACUCUUCAGCCGACGAAGCCAGGUCCCUGAUACGAUCAGAGCUCGUACUCAACUCCUGCUCAAGGACCUCCACCCGAGCUAGGGCCCCUUCCUUCUGAGCUUUCACCUCCUCCAGGUGAACCUGCAGUCCUUCAGAAUCAGCCUUUAAGGCCUCAUAUCGACGCUGGAUCUCAGUUUUCUGGCUCACAGCCUCAUCUCUCUCUCGAAGGGCCCCCAUCAUAGAGGACAGCUGCUUUAAAACCUCUGCACAACGAGCCUCCACGGCAGCUGCACUCUCAUCAGACUCCUUGAGAACCUUGCGAGUAUGAGACAGCUCUGCUUCUAAAGACUUGGUGUGCUCUGCUGUCUCGGACGCCUUCUCCUCAGCCUUUUUAAUGACCUCCAGCGCAGAGUGUAACUCUACUUGGAGGGACUGGGUAUGCUCCUGAGCCACUGCAAGGUUACUCCUGGCAUCACUAGUUGCAGACAAAUUUUCAUCCAGACGUGUCUCUUCAAUCUGACGGUCUACAGACUCCCGCAAGGAGUAAUCACGAGCAUCCACCUCCAUAAAGAGGCCCGUCACCUAGCACAGAAUAACAAUCGUCAAGAGAAAGAAAUAAAGCAAACUAAAAGAGAAGUGGAAAAGUAAUUUACCAUCAGAAGCAUCUCCCUAAUCGUCGAUCCGAGCUCCUCCCGAGAGCGAGACCGAAAGGACGCUUGUUUCUUGGUAAAACUGGCUAAGAGACCAGUCAAGGCAAGAAGACGCGAAUCAGAGGCCUCGAUAAUUCUGCCGAACAUUCGCUCUCUAAGAAGUUCCGCAACAGCACUGGCCGGAGACUCAGAGGUAAUGUCCGACGCGUUCAGAACGUUGUCAGAAGAAAACAACAAAGGCGUAGCAGAAACACCUUUCCCCUUCCCAAUGGGAGGAAGAGCUGGAGAAGAACCUGUGGCAGCCCUGGAUUUCUUCUGAGCAGGAGAUGGGGAAGAUGUUCCGGAAGGGGCUGAGCGCUUAUCCCCGGUCUUUAGUGGAAUGCCUUCAGAAUCCUCAGGCCCAGUUCCCACAGAGGCAGGGGCAUUUUGGAUAGGAACAUCUGGGACAUGGUCCUCUAUGAGGAUGAUCUCCAUCCCUGUCCCAGAGGCCUCCUUCUCUUCAGUAACGGGGGACUUAGAUUUUCCCCCUGACAACCCUUCAGGAGAAUGAACAAGACCCGACUCCACUUGUUCAACGACUUGGGUCUGCUCCACAAUGGCUAGGGAGGUUUCCCUUGC
rnacentral:lncRNA from 1 species